rnacentral:rRNA from 1 species
UACGGGGGGGGCUACCGUUGUUCGGAAUCACUGGGCGUAAAGCGCACGCAGGCGGAUCAAUAAGUCGGGGGUGAAAGCCCGGGGCUCAACCUCGGAAUUGCCUUCGAUACUGUCGGGCUCGAGUCCGGGCGAGGUGAGUGGAAUUCCUAGUGUAGAGGUGAAAUUCGUAGAUAUUAGGAAGAACACCAGUAGCGAAGGCGGCUCACUGGCCCGGUACUGACGCUCAGGUGCGAAAGCGUGGGGAGCAAACAGG